UCUAGAUCUACUCAUGUCACACUUUUAAGUUUUUUUUUAUUAAAAAAGCUUUAAUUUGCCCAUGCCGCUCCUUAGAGUUUGUCUGCGCCUUGGUCCAGCUCCAAAACCAUACUUUUUGACAGAAGAGACCGAGUUCUCCAUUGCUGGCUCCCUAGUACCUAACCAGAAAAUGAACCAUGCAGACAGUAAGACUGCAGAAGCUCUGCAGUAGAUUCAGCAGCAACUGGCGGAGGCAGAACAGUUAAACAAAGAUGCAGAGAUCCUGCCCUCUCCACUACUGCUGGAAGAGAUGCAGCAGGCCUUUCGGGGUUUUACAUUCUUCACCAGGGUUAGCAGCGUUUCACGCCACAGCCUCUUCACCUCUCUCCAGUCUCUGAAGGACCGACUGGGGUCAAGUUGCCUUUGACCACCAGAGCCUGCACCAAGCUGCCUUUGACCACUAUUGCCUGGAUCAAGCUGCCUUCAAGCACCAGUUCCCACUUCUCACCUCAAGCUGCUGCUGCUGCCUCCAAGAUUCCUGCAUCUGUGCCGCUGGCCUCUAAAACGCUGCAGGAUGAUCUGUGGGUUGUCCGCCUGAACUUUGAGUUUUGUUUUGUUUUUUUGCCCUCCCUCUGAGGCCCCCUCCACCCGCCCAGUUUAGGUUGUUUUUUGUUUUCUUGUUUUUUCAUGGACUCAUGUGGACAUCUGGUAUCCACCCUUAAGGGAGGGGUAAUGCCAUGAUCUGCACCUGUUUGUAUUUUAUUAAGGGCUGCAACUAACAAUUCCUUUGCUUCGAUUAAUCUGUCGACUAUUUUUUUGAUUAUUUGAUUAAUAUUCUGAUAGCAAAAGGUGCUUAAAGGGAGAAUUUUUACAGAAUUUGAACCAGGUGAAGCUAAAGCUAGGCCACUUGAGAAGUUCUGGAUAGAGCAUAUUUACAUCUUAAAAGCAAAAUGUAUGUAUUUUUCGUACCAUUCUGGCCUAAUCACUGCUCUGAGUGGGUUAUUCUUUCAGCAAAUGGAAUGUUUUAGGGUCUGUAUACUUCAGUUAAUGAUUGUUCGAUUACUAAAUUGGUUGAUUAUUUCAACAAUCAAUUCAUCCAACUAAUUGUUUCAGUCCUAAUUUUAUUAAAGGAGCCCACCUGUUUUCCGCAUUUUUCUUUUUACCUAAGUGGUAUUUAGGUUUCUAUUUUCUCUCACUUCGUUGUUGGGUUCUCUAUUUGCUGUCUCCCUAGUUCUUCCCUAAUAGUGUUUCCUUCAUGGCUGUGAGUUCAUCCUUUUUCAUUAAAAGAUUUCCAUCUACAAUGCUCCUGCUGAUGUCCUGUUGUCGCUUUAGUCCUCCAAACACUCAAAUGUGACACAUACAGCUUAAAUAAACCAAGAGUACAGUGUGUCACCACAGUACGUUACAAUCACAAACAUCUAUGUAUUUUAUUAGGGCUUAAAUGUGAUAAAUUUGUUUUCUUAAAUAAAAAAUCUGAAAACUGA